GAAUAUUGGACAAUGGGGGGAACCCUGAUCCAGCCCUGCCGCGUGUGUGAAGAAGGCCUUUUGGUUGUAAAGCACUUUAAGCGGGGAGGAGGCUGCUCUAGUUAAUACCGAGAGAUAGUGGACGUUACUCGCAGAAUACGCACCGGCUAACUGUGUGCCUGCAGCCGCGGUAAUACAGAGGGUGCAAGCGUUACUCGGACUUACUGGGCGUAAAGCGCGCGUAGGUGGCCAAUUAAGUCAAAUGUGAAAUCCCCGAGCUUAACUUGGGAAUUGCAUUCGAUACUGGUUGGCUAGAGUAUGGGAGAGGAUGGUAGAAUUCCAGGUGUAGCGGUGAAAUGCGUAGAGAUCUGGAGGAAUACCGAUGGCGAAGGCAGCCAUCUGGCCUAAUACUGACACUGAGGUGCGAAAGCAUGGGGAGCAAACA
rnacentral:rRNA from 1 species